CGUGGGGGGGGGCCAAAAUAAUGCAAGUCGAGCGAGUGAAAUUAACUGAUCCCUUCGGGGUGACGUUAAUGGAUCUAGCGGCGGACGGGUGAGUAACACGUGGGCAACCUGCCUGUAAGACUGGGAUAACUCGCGGAAACGUGAGCUAAUACCGGAUAACACUUCGAACCACAUGGUUUGAAGAUGAAAGGCGGCGCAAGCUGUCACUUACAGAUGGGCCCGCGGCGCAUUAGCUAGUUGGUGAGGUAACGGCUCACCAAGGCGACAAUGCGUAGCCGACCUGAGAGGGUGAUCGGCCACACUGGGACUGAAACACGGCCCAAACUCCUACGGGAGGCAGCAGUAGGGAAUCUUCCGCAAUGGACAAAAGUCUGACGGAGCAACGCCGCGUGAGUGAUGAAGGUUUUCGGAUUGUAAAACUCUGUUGUUAGGGAAAAACAAGUACAAUAGUAACUGAUUGUACCUUGACGGUACCUAACCAAAAAGCCCCGGCUAACUACGUGCCAGCAGCCGCGGUAAUACGUAGGGGGCAAGCGUUGUCCGGAAUUAUUGGGCGUAAAGCGCGCGCAGGCGGUCCUUUAAGUCUGAUGUGAAAGCCCACGGCUUAACCGUGGAGGGUCAUUGGAAACUGGAGGACUUGAGUGCAGAAGAGGAGAGUGGAAUUCCACGUGUAGCGGUGAAAUGCGUAGAGAUGUGGAGGAACACCAGUGGCGAAGGCGACUCUCUGGUCUGUAACUGACGCUGAGGCGCGAAAGCGUGGGGAGCGAACAGGAUUAGAUACCCUGGUAGUCCACGCCGUAACGAUGAGUGCUAGGUGUAGGGGUUUCCGCUCUAGUUGCUGAGUACGCAUAGCACUCGCUGGGAGUACGGCGGCAGCCUGAAACUCAAGAUGACGGGUCGUACAGCGUGGAGCAGGUGUUACUCGAAGCAAG
rnacentral:rRNA from 2 species